AUUUAAAUAGUUUAAUAAAAACAUUGGUCUUGUAAACCAAAAUUAAAAAAUAUUUUUUUUAAAUG
rnacentral:tRNA from 1 species